rnacentral:rRNA from 1 species
UUGACCUCGGAUCAGGUAGGGAUACCCGCUGAACUUAAGCAUAUCAAUAAGCGGAGGAAAAGAAACCAACAGGGAUUGCCUCAGUAACGGCGAGUGAAGCGGCAACAGCUCAAAUUUGAAAUCUGACCCCGUCGGGGCCCGAGUUGUAAUUUGCAGAGGGUGCUUCGGGCGCGGCGCCGGUCUAAGUUUCUUGGAACAGAACGUCACAGAGGGUGAGAAUCCCGUACGUGACCGGCGACCAAGCCCGGGUGAAGCCCCUUCGACGAGUCGAGUUGUUUGGGAAUGCAGCUCAAAGCGGGUGGUAAAUUCCAUCUAAAGCUAAAUACCGGCCAGAGACCGAUAGCGGACAAGUAGAGUGAUCGAAAGAUGAAAAGCACUUUGGAAAGAGAGUCAAACAGUACGUGAAAUUGUUGAAAGGGAAGCGCUUGCGCCCAGACCGGUCCGGGGGUGAUCAGCCGCGGCUCGUCCGCGGUGCACUCGCCUCCGAUCCGGCCAGCAUCGGUUCGGGCGGCGGGAUAAAAGUCCCGGGAAUGUAGCUUCUCUCGGGGAGUCUUAUAGCCCGGGUCGCAAUGCCGCCCGCCUGGACCGAGGACCGCGCUUCGGCUAGGAUGCUGGCGUAAUGGUCGCAAGCGACCCGUCUUGAAACACGGACCAAGGAGUCUAACAUCUAUGCGAGUGUUUGGGUGUCAAACCCGGGCGCGGAAUGAAAGUGAACGGAGGUGGGAGCCCGCCAGGGCGCACCAUCGACCGAUCCUGAUGUCUUCGGAUGGAUUUGAGUAUGAGCAUAGCUGUUGGGACCCGAAAGAUGGUGAACUAUGCCCGGAUAGGGUGAAGCCAGAGGAAACUCUGGUGGAGGCUCGCAGCGGUUCUGACGUGCAAAUCGAUCGUCAAAUCUAGGCAUAGGGGCGAAAGACCAAUCGACCA